UCGGGAAUAUUGCACAAUGGAGGAAACUCUGAUGCAGUGACGCCGCGUGCAGGAAGAAGGUUUUCGGAUUGUAAACUGCUUUAGACAGGGAAGAAAAAAGACAGUACCUGUAGAAUAAGCUCCGGCUAACUACGUGCCAGCAGCCGCGGUAAUACGUAGGGAGCAAGCGUUAUCCGGAUUUAUUGGGUGUAAAGGGUGCGUAGACGGGCUAACAAGUUAGUUGUGAAAUCCCUCGGCUUAACUGAGGAACUGCAACUAAAACUAUUAGUCUUGAGUGCGGGAGAGGAAAGUGGAAUUCCUAGU
rnacentral:rRNA from 1 species